rnacentral:rRNA from 1 species
ACGGCUCAGUAACACGUGGAUAACCUACCCUCAGGUGGGGGAUAACCCCGGGAAACUGGGGAUAAUACCCCAUAGACCAGGGACGCUGGAAUGCCCCCUGAUCGAAAGGUCCGCCGCCUGAGGAUGGGUCUGCGGCCGAUUAGGUUGUUGUUGGGGUAACGGCCCAACAAGCCUUUGAUCGGUACGGGUUGUGAGAGCAAGAGCCCGGAGAUGGAUUCUGAGACACAAAUCCAGGCCCUACGGGGCGCAGCAGGCGCGAAAACUUUACAAUGCGAGAAAUCGUGAUAAGGGAACCCCGAGUGCCCGUAAAUUCGGGCUGUCCAUCAGCGUAAAAAACUGGUGAAGAAAGGGCCGGGCAAGACCGGUGCCAGCCGCCGCGGUAAUACCGGCGGCUCGAGUGGUGGCCACUAUUACUGGGCUUAAAGCGUCCGUAGCUGGAUUGUUAAGUCUCUUGGGAAAUCCGCCGGCUUAACCGGUGGGCGUUCAGGAGAAACUGGCAAUCUAGGGACCGGGAGAGGUGAGAGGUACUCCAGGGGUAGGAGUGAAAUCCUGUAAUCCUUGGGGGACCACCUGUGGCGAAGGCGUCUCACUAGAACGGCUCCGACAGUGAGGGACGAAAGCUGGGGGAGCAAACCGGAUUAGAUACCCGGGUAGUCCCAGCUGUAAACGAUGCGCGUUAGGUGUAUCGGUGACCACGAGUCAUCGAGGUGCCGAAGGGAAACCGUGAAACGUGCCGCCUGGGAAGUACGGUCGCAAGGCUGAAACUUAAAGGAAUUGGCGGGGGAGCAC